UUCAGUGAAGUGAUGAGUUUAUUCAUGUCUCUUCUCUGACAUUUGACUGGAGAGAUUUGUAAAGACUUCUGAUCACUGCA